GUCAUUCUAAUGAGAUCUAAAUUCUUAGAAAGCUUAAAACUAAAAUAGUUCUCAAUCGUUGGAUUACUAAAUUGAGGAUUAGUGAAUCCAAAUAGAUUGGUACAUACGUUGCUUGCUCAUUUGUGUGGAGACACUAAAGCAAGUAUGUAGGUGCUUAUUAGAGAGAAAGUUCACUUAACGUGACUCGCUAAGGAAUACCUAAUGGAGUUUUACUUGUCUGUCAAUAGGAAUUUCUGUAGUGAUAGUAGUACAAGUGAUCCUUAGACAUGAGAUCAUCAUAGUAUCUUGUGUAUGGUGAGUUAUACUUUGACUUGUUCCUUAAGACCCUUAGGGUAUUGUUGUGGCAGCCCCGAAUCCGGGUCCCGAAUCGCCGCGGAUCCGGUUCGCUAUUUCUACAACUAUUUGCGGAAGAUAUAAACAUAAAUUGUUUAUACAUUACAUUACACACUAUUCCCCAAGGUCGAGUAACCUUUACUUAAACACAAAUCAUAAGCUAUCUAACACAUAACAAUACUAUUCUUCAACCAUACUUUUACAAAUUAGCUGUACAUUCUAUCCCAAGCUGAACUUGGCAUUUUCCUUUUCCUGUAACUGGCCGUAUUCGCCUUAUCUGCAAUGUUUUAUCAUGAUAUAGCAAGGGUGAGCAUGAAAGUUGCCCAGCAAGUUUAAAAACAAUGCAAAGAUAUAUCAUGAUGGAAAGAGUUUGAAUAAUAAGCUGACUAUCCUUCACAAUGUAUUUGUGAAUUAGCAUGAACAAAGUUUUGACUGAACAAGUAUUUAACAGGAAUAACAAUAUAUCUGGACCAACUGGUAAUGAAGGUGAUCAGCCUUUCAUANNNN
rnacentral:lncRNA from 1 species